UGACUUUAUAUCCAGCUACACAACUGUAUUCAGUUAUCAAAUCUAGAAGUCUUUUGGUGGAGCUUUUUGGAUCUUCUAUGUAGAGUAUCAUGUCAUCUGCAAAUAAUGAUAAAAGCAAGUAAUGAUAAUUUAUCUCCUUCCUUUCCUAUCCUUAUUCCUUUUAUUUCUUUCUCUUGUCUAAUUGCUCUUGGUAGUGUUUCCAGAAGUAUGUUGAACAAGAGUGGUGACAGUGGACAUCCUUGUUUUGUUCCUGAUCUUAGAAUGAAAACUUUCAGUUUUUGUCCAUUUAGUAUGAUGUUGGCUGUUAGAUUGUUGUAGAUAACUUUUAUCAGAUUGAGCUAAAGGCCAUCUACAUCAAUAUUCUGUAGGGGUUUUUUUAUUAUCAUGAAUGGGUGUUGGACCUUUCAAAUGCUUUUUCUGAAUCUAUUGAGAGGAUCAUAUGGUUUUUGUCCUUGGCUUUGUCCAUAUAGUGUAUUACAUUUAUUGAUUUGCAUAUGUUGAACCAUUUCUUGAUCCCUGGGAUGAAUCCAACUUGGUCAUGGUGUACAACCUUCUUGAUGAUUUGCUGUAUUCUGUUUCCCAGUAUCUUAUUGAGGACUUUUGCAUCUAUGUUCCUUAGGGGGAUUGGCCUGUAAUUCUUUUGUGAUUGGAUCCUUCUCUGGUUUUGCAAUCAGGAUAGUGCUUGCUUCCAGGAAUGAACUUUAGAGUAUUCGUUCUCUUUCGAUUUCAUUAGAGUUUAAGAAGUAGCAGCAUUAGGUCUUCUGUAAAUUUCUUGUAGAAUUCAGCAGUGAAUUCAUCAGGGCCAUGGCUUUUCUUUGUUGGUAAGUUUUAAAUUACAUUUUCAAUUUCAUUGAUUGAUAUUGGGUUGUUUAGAAUUUCUAUAUCUUCUUGAUUCAGCUUUGGUAAUUCAUAGUUAUUUAGGAAUCUUUCUAUUUCUUCUGAGUUUUCCAUCUUAUUAGAAUUCAGGUUCUCAAAGUAGGUACUGAUGAUCUGUAUUUCUGCAGGGUCUGUUGUGAUUUCACCCUUUUUAUUCCUAAGUGCAUAGAUUUCAGUCUUUCUGUCCUUCUUUUGCUAAGGUUGGCUAAGGGUUUUUCAAUUUUAUUUAUUUAUUUAUUUAAAAAAUUUUUUCUUAAAUUCUUUUAUUGGUACAUUUUAGAUAUACAACACAAUUACAUUUCUCAUUGGGACCUUGUACCUUUACCUGAUGCAUCUUGGUUCUUAUUUUUUCCUCAUUCCUUUCCCUCCCUUCACCCUGUCCACCCUUCCCUAUUUACAAAGACUUUAUUUCCAUUUUUUUUCAUUUCUCAUCAUUUUUCCUUUCCCUUCUUUCCUUUCCCCUGCCCCUCCCACUACCCCUACCUCUUUGGACCUUUUCUUCCUAUUUUGCAUUAUUGAUUAUUCAUUCUAAUCAUUGGUACAUUUUAGGUAUAAAAUAUAAUGACAUUCAUCGUUUGAAAUUUGCAACUCUACAUAAUCUCUCUUGGUUCUUAUUUUUCACUCUUGCCCAGCCCUCCCUUCAACCCCUCCAGUCCUCCCUAUUUACAAAGAUUUUCUUCCUAUUUUUCCAUUUUCUCAUAUUAAUUCCAUACCUUUCUUUCCUUUCUCCUACCCCUCCCACUUCCCUUUCCCCUUUGCCCCUUUUCUUCCUAUUUCACAUUACCUAUUAUACAUUUUAGUCCUUAUUUACACUUUCAGUUUCUCACAUCAGAGGAACUAUUUGGUAUUUAAACAUGUGUGUCCUAUUUAUUUCACUUAAGAGUAUCACCUCAAUGUGCACCCACUUAGCUAUAAAUGUCUCUAAUUUCUCAUUUUUAUGGCUGAGUAUUACUCCAUUUUAUAAAAAACCUCACAUUUUCUUUAUCCAGUCUCCAGUUGAUGGGCAUUUGGGCUGUUUCCAAGUUUUAGCUAUGCCAAACUGUGCUGCUAUGAACAUGGGUGCACAUAUAUCACUGUGGUAUGAUUCUUUUAAUUCUUUGGGGAAGAUCCCCAGCAGGGGAAUAAUGGGGUCAAAUGGGAUUUCCCGUCCUAGUUCUUUGAGGUAUCUCCAUACUGAUUUCCACAGUGGUUGCACCAGUCUACACUCCCACCAGCAGUGGAGGAGGCAGGGUUCCUCUUUCCCCACAGCCCUGCCAGCAUUUGUUAUUGGUUGAUUUCAUGAUAGCAGCCAUUCUUUCUGGAGUGAGGUGGAAUCUCAGCGUUGUUUUCAUUUGCAUCUCUCGAAUGACCAGUGAUGUUGAACAUUUUUUCAUGUAUUUAUUUGCUAUUUCUACUUCCUUGUCUGAGAAAUAUCUGUUCCUUUCAGAUGCCCAUUUUUGGAUUGGGUCUUUAAAUUUGGGAGGCCUGGUCUUUUUAAGUUCUUUAUAGAUUUGAGAUAGUGGGCCUUUGUCUGAGGAAAAGCAGGUGAAGAUUUUUUCCCACAUUGUGGAUUGUCUCUUCACACUGCUGGUGGUUUCUCUUGCUGUGCAGAAGCUUUUUAAUAAGAAGAGAUCCCACCUGUUGAUUGUUUGUGCUAGUUCAUGGGCAACUGAGGUUUUGUUCAUAAAAUCUUUUCCUACACCGAUGUCUUCAAGAGUUCUACCUAACCUCUGUUCCAACUGGUUCAGAGUUUCUAUUUUAAUAUUUAAAUCUUUAAUCCAUUUUGAUUUUAGUUUAGUACAUGGCAAGGAAUAUAGGUGUAGUUUUAAUCUUUGGCAAGUUGAAGCCCAAUUUUUCCAGCACCAUUUAUUAAAGAGGCUAUCUUUCCUCCAGUGAGGGUGUUUGGCUCCUUUGUCAAAGAUGAGUUGGCGGAGUGUGUCUGGCGUUGUUUCUGCAUCUUACUAAUCUGUUCCACUGGUCCUCAGGUCUGUUUCUUUGCCAGUACCAUGCUGCUUUUAUCACAGUAGCUUUGUAGUAUAGUUUCAGGUUGGGGAUUGUGAUACUCCCUGCCAUGUCUCUGUUACCUAGAAUUGCUUUUGCUAUUCUGGGUCUCUUCUUGUUCCAAAUGAAUUAUUGGAUUGUUUUCUCAAGGUCCAUGAAGUAUGCUGCUGGGAUCUGAAUUGGAAUUGCAUGAAAUCUAUAUAGCAGUUUUGGAAGUAUGGCCAUUUUCACUAUAUUAAUCCUUCCUACCCAGGAGCAGGGGAUGUCUGUCCAUUUUCUGAUAUCAUCUUCAAUCUCUCUUUUCAGAGUGCCAUAGUUUUCAGAGAAGAGGUCUUUGAUUUCUUUUAGUAGGUUGAUUCUUAGGUAUUUCAGUUUUUUGGAUGCUAUUGUGAAAGGAAUUGUUUGCCCUAUUUCUGUCUCAUUGAGUAUUGUUUGUGUAGAGGAAAGCUAUUGAUUUUUGUGUGUCGACCUUGUAUUCAGCUACUUGACUGAAUUGGAUUAUUAAGUCUAGAAUACUUUUAGUGGAGUUCUUGGUGUCUUCUAUACAGAUUAUCAUAUCAUCUGCAAAUGACAAUUUGACUUCUUCAUUUCCUAUCUUUAUUCCUUUUAUUUCUUUCUCUUGUCUAAUUGCUGUGGCUAAUGUUUCCAAAACUAUAUUGAACAAGAGUAGUGGUAGUGGACAUCCUUGUCUUGUUCUUGAUUUUAGUGUGAGGGAUUUCAGUUUUUGACCAAUUAGUAUGAUAUUGGCUGUUGGUUUUUCAUAGAUGGCUUCUAUCAGUUUGAGGUAGAGACCAUCUAUUCCAAUUUUUUGUAGGUUUUGAUCAUAAAUGCAUGUUGGAUUAUGUGAAAUGCUUUUUCUGUGUCUAUGGAGAUAAUCAUAUGUUUUUUGUCCUUGGGUCUAUUGAUAUAGUGUAUUACAUUGAUUGAUUCGUGUAUGUUGAACCAUCCCUGCAUUCCUGGGAUGAAUCCCACUUGAUCAGGGUGUAUGAUCUUCAAAAUGAUCUUCUGCAUUCUAGUUGCCAUUUUCUUAUUAAGGAUUUUUGCAUCUAUGUUCAUUAGUGAGAUUGGCCUAUAGUUCUCUUUUUCAGUUGGGUCUUUCUCUGCUUUGGGGAUCCAGGUGAUGCUUGCUUACAGGAAUGAAUUUGGGAGUAUUGCUUCCCUUUCAAUUUCAUUGAAGAGUUUAAACACUAGUGGCAGCAGUUCCUCUCUAAAUGUCUUGUAGAAUUCAGCAGUGAAGCCAUCAGGGCCCUGGCUUUUCUUAGUUGUUAAUUUUUAAAUACAUUUUCAAUUUCAUUGAUUGAUAUUGGGUUGUUUAGAAUUUUUAGGUCUUCUUCGUUCAACUUUGGUAAUUCAUAUGUAUCUAGGAAUCUGUCCAUUUCUUCUGUGUUUUCCAUCUUAUUGGCGCAUAGGUUCUUGAAGUAUGUAUUAAUGAUCAUGUGGAUUUCUGCUGGGUCUGUUGUAAUUUCACCCUUUUCAUUUGUAAUUGCAUGGAUUUGGGCCUUUUCUUUCCUUUUUCUGAUAAGGUUGGCUAAGGGUUUGUCAAUUUUGUUGAUUCUUUUGAAGAACCAACUCUUGGCUUCAUUGAUUUUUUGUAUUGUUCUCUUAGUCUCCAUUGCAUUGAUUUCUCCUCUGAUCUUUAUAAUUUCCUCCCUUGUAUGAGCUUUGGGGUUGUCCUGCUCUUCUUUUUCUAGAAGCUUGAGGUUCAGCCUCAGGUUGUUUAAUUGGGCUUGUUCUGUUUUCCUAAUAUGCAUAUUCACUGCUAUGAAUUUCCCUCGUAAGACUGCUUUCAUUGUGUCCCAUAGAUUCCGAUAUGUUGUAUUGUCAUUGUCAUUUCAUUGAAGGAACUGUCUGAUUUCUUAAUUUCCUCUGUGACCCAUUGGUUAUUCAGAAGUGUGUUGUUCAAUUUCCACGUGUUUAUGAAAUUUUUUGAGUUUCUUUUGCUGUUGAUCUCCAAUUUCAUGGCACUAUGGUCUGGUAAUAUACAGGGGAUAACUUCAAUUCCUUUGCACUUACUUAAACAUGUUGUAUGUGUGAGUACGUGGUCUAUUUUAGAGAAUGACCCAUGUGCAGCUGAGAAGAAUGUGUAUUCUGAUUUUGUGGGGUGGAAGACUCUGUAAACAUCUGUUAAGUUCAUUCAUUCAAGAGUUUGAUUGAGUUCUAGUAUUUCAUUACUUAUUUUUAGUCUAGUUGAUCUAUCUAUUUGUGACAGUGGGGUGUUGAGGUCCCCCACUACAAUUGUAUUAGUGCAUAUAUGACUUUUCAUGUCCGUUAGUAUUUGUUUUAUAUAGUUGGGUGCAAUAGUGUUUGGUGCAUAGAUAUUUAUGAUUGUCAUCUCUUCCUCUUGGAUUCUUCCCUUUACAAGGAUGUAGUGUCCUUCUUCAUCUCUCUUAAUCAGUGUUGGUUUGAAAUCUACUUGAUCUGCCAAGAGGAUAGCUACUCCUGCUUUUUUUCGGGUUGCUGUCGCAUGGAGUAUUGUUUUCCACCCUUUAACUUUCAGUCUAUGAGUUUCCUUUUGAAUGAAGUGAUCCUCAAUGUCUGUUCCUAGGAUAUUGUGUAAAAUUCUUUGGAGUGCUGGUUUGGUAUUCACGAAAUUCCUAAGGUGCUCUUUGUCAUGAAAGUAUCUUAUUUCUCCAUCCAGUUUGAAAGAUAGUUUUGCAGGGUACAUCAAUCUGGUUUGGAGGCUGUUUUCUUUUAGGGCUUGGAAUAUGUCACUCCAAGAUCUUCUUGCCUUGAUGGUUUGUGUUGAGAAGUUUGCUGUGAUUCUGAUGGGCUUUCCUUUGUAUGUGAUUUGUUUCUUUUCUCUAACUGCUUGUAGAACUUUGUUCUUCUGUUGUGUUUCUGGAAUCUUAACAAUUAUAUGCCUAUGUGUAGAUUUUUUUUGAUCAAGGCUAUUUGGAGUCCUAUAUGCCUCACUUUUUUGUAUGUCAAGCUCUUUUCCCUUGCUUGGGAAGUUUUCUGCCAUUAUUUCUGUGAAGAGAUUUUUUUAUGUCAUCUGCACCCUCUCCUGUUUCUUCAUUGAGCCCAAUCAGUCUUAUGUUAUUCUUUUUUGCAUCAUCUUGGAGCUGCUGGAUUGAUUUCUCAUGUUCCCUUCUAAUUUUGAAGCAAUUUUUCUUUUCCUGGUCACUAAUUGCAAUCUUAUCUUCUAUAUCUGAAAUUCUGUCCUCACAUUGGCUCAUUCUGCUGUGUAGACUUUCAAUGGAGUUUUUCAUGUCCUGGAAAUCUAUUUGCAUCUGUUUUAUGGAUUCCAUUUGUUUCUUAUGUUGGGAUUCCAUCAUGUUCCUGAGCUCCUCUCUAGAUUUAUUAAUCAUGUCUUGCACUAGGGGCACAAUUUCUCCUGUUAUCUGAGAAAUUAUUUCUGAUUUCAUUUUUUCCAGAUCUUCUUUUGUUGCCAGUUCAUUGGGUCCAGGUGAUUGGGUAUCAGAGUGUUCCAUCUCAUUUCCCUUUGGGGUUGCUGUAGGUGAUCUGGACAUCUGGUUUUGAGACUUAUUUACAUGUUUUCUCAUUUUCACUGGGGCGAGGGGCUGUUAGCACCUGCAGGGAUUACCUCCUCUGAGCUGAGAGAGGUGGGACAGGGGCUGGGAGCAGCGGUAGGGAUGAUGACCCAAAAGCCCUUUCCUGUGGGCUGGGAGCAGCCGGAGCAAUGGUGGCUGGGAACCCCCUUCCUCUGGACUAGGAGCUGUGGGAUGGUGGCUCAGAAGUCCCUCCAUCUGGGCCGGGAGCGGUGGGAGGGAUGGUGGCCUGGAAGCCCCUUCUUCUGGGCCAGGAGCAACAGGACAGAAGGUGGCCCAAAAGCCCUUUCCUCUGGGCUGGGAGCAUUGGGAGUGAUGGUGACCAGGAAUCCCCUUCCUCUGGACCAGGAGCAGUGGGACGAUGGCUCAGAAGCCCCUACCUCUGGGCCGGGCACAGUAGGACUCAGUUCCUUGCCCUGGUGGUCUGGUGUCCUCUGGGUCUUUGUAGUGUGGAAUCAGGUGGCUGCCUGUCUGCAGCGGGGUGAUUCGGUGUCUUCCCCGUGACUCAGGACCUUGGUAGGGCAGGCACAGACCUGCCUGUCUGCAGCGGGCCACUUUUCAUUUUCUUAACAAUGCCAUUUAAAGUUCUAAAUUUUGAUGGAAUCUCAUUUAUCAAUUUUUUUCUUUUAUAC
rnacentral:lncRNA from 1 species